rnacentral:rRNA from 1 species
UUAAGUUAUUAAGGGCGCACGGUGGAUGCCUUGGCACUAGAAGCCGAUGAAGGACGUUACUAACGACGAUAUGCUUUGGGGAGCUGUAAGUAAGCUUUGAUCCAGAGAUUUCCGAAUGGGGAAACCCAGCAUGAGUUAUGUCAUGUUAUCGAUAUGUGAAUACAUAGCAUAUCAGAAGGCACACCCGGAGAACUGAAACAUCUUAGUACCCGGAGGAAGAGAAAGAAAAUUCGAUUCCCUUAGUAGCGGCGAGCGAAACGGGAAGAGCCCAAACCAACAAGCUUGCUUGUUGGGGUUGUAGGACACUCUAUACGGAGUUACAAAGGACGACAUUAGACGAAUCAUCUGGAAAGAUGAAUCAAGGAAGGUAAUAAUCCUGUAGUCGAAAAUGUUGUCUCUCUUGAGUGGAUCCUGAGUACGACGGAGCACGUGAAAUUCCGUCGGAAUCUGGGAGGACCAUCUCCUAAGGCUAAAUACUCUCUAGUGACCGAUAGUGAACCAGUACCGUGAGGGAAAGGUGAAAAGCACCCCGGAAGGGGAGUGAAAUAGAACCUGAAACCGUGUGCUUACAAGUAGUCAGAGCCCGUUAAUGGGUGAUGGCGUGCCUUUUGUAGAAUGAACCGGCGAGUUACGAUUUGAUGCAAGGUUAAGCAGUAAAUGUGGAGCCGUAGCGAAAGCGAGUCUGAAUAGGGCGUUUAGUAUUUGGUCGUAGACCCGAAACCAGGUGAUCUACCCUUGGUCAGGUUGAAGUUCAGGUAACACUGAAUGGAGGACCGAACCGACUUACGUUGAAAAGUGAGCGGAUGAACUGAGGGUAGCGGAGAAAUUCCAAUCGAACCUGGAGAUAGCUGGUUCUCUCCGAAAUAGCUUUAGGGCUAGCCUCAAGUGAUGAUUAUUGGAGGUAGAGCACUGUUUGGACGAGGGGCCCCUCUCGGGUUACCGAAUUCAGACAAACUCCGAAUGCCAAUUAAUUUAACUUGGGAGUCAGAACAUGGGUGAUAAGGUCCGUGUUCGAAAGGGAAACAGCCCAGACCACCAGCUAAGGUCCCAAAAUAUAUGUUAAGUGGAAAAGGAUGUGGCGUUGCCCAGACAACUAGGAUGUUGGCUUAGAAGCAGCCAUCAUUUAAAGAGUGCGUAAUAGCUCACUAGUCGAGUGACACUGCGCCGAAAAUGUACCGGGGCUAAACAUAUUACCGAAGCUGUGGAUUGUCCUUUGGACAAUGGUAGGAGAGCGUUCUAAGGGCGUUGAAGCAUGAUCGUAAGGACAUGUGGAGCGCUUAGAAGUGAGAAUGCCGGUGUGAGUAGCGAAAGACGGGUGAGAAUCCCGUCCACCGAUUGACUAAGGUUUCCAGAGGAAGGCUCGUCCGCUCUGGGUUAGUCGGGUCCUAAGCUGAGGCCGACAGGCGUAGGCGAUGGAUAACAGGUUGAUAUUCCUGUACCACCUAUAAUCGUUUUAAUCGAUGGGGGGACGCAGUAGGAUAGGCGAAGCGUGCGAUUGGAUUGCACGUCUAAGCAGUAAGGCUGAGUAUUAGGCAAAUCCGGUACUCGUUAAGGCUGAGCUGUGAUGGGGAGAAGACAUUGUGUCUUCGAGUCGUUGAUUUCACACUGCCGAGAAAAGCCUCUAGAUAGAAAAUAGGUGCCCGUACCGCAAACCGACACAGGUAGUCAAGAUGAGAAUUCUAAGGUGAGCGAGCGAACUCUCGUUAAGGAACUCGGCAAAAUGACCCCGUAACUUCGGGAGAAGGGGUGCUCUUUAGGGUUAACGCCCAGAAGAGCCGCAGUGAAUAGGCCCAAGCGACUGUUUAUCAAAAACACAGGUCUCUGCUAAACCGUAAGGUGAUGUAUAGGGGCUGACGCCUGCCCGGUGCUGGAAGGUUAAGAGGAGUGGUUAGCUUCUGCGAAGCUACGAAUCGAAGCCCCAGUAAACGGCGGCCGUAACUAUAACGGUCCUAAGGUAGCGAAAUUCCUUGUCGGGUAAGUUCCGACCCGCACGAAAGGCGUAACGAUUUGGGCACUGUCUCAACGAGAGACUCGGUGAAAUCAUAGUACCUGUGAAGAUGCAGGUUACCCGCGACAGGACGGAAAGACCCCGUGGAGCUUUACUGUAGCCUGAUAUUGAAAUUCGGCACAGCUUGUACAGGAUAGGUAGGAGCCUUUGAAACGUGAGCGCUAGCUUACGUGGAGGCGCUGGUGGGAUACUACCCUAGCUGUGUUGGCUUUCUAACCCGCACCACUUAUCGUGGUGGGAGACAGUGUCAGGCGGGCAGUUUGACUGGGGCGGUCGCCUCCUAAAAGGUAACGGAGGCGCUCAAAGGUUCCCUCAGAAUGGUUGGAAAUCAUUCAUAGAGUGUAAAGGCAUAAGGGAGCUUGACUGCGAGACCUACAAGUCGAGCAGGGUCGAAAGACGGACUUAGUGAUCCGGUGGUUCCGCAUGGAAGGGCCAUCGCUCAACGGAUAAAAGCUACCCCGGGGAUAACAGGCUUAUCUCCCCCAAGAGUUCACAUCGACGGGGAGGUUUGGCACCUCGAUGUCGGCUCAUCGCAUCCUGGGGCUGUAGUCGGUCCCAAGGGUUGGGCUGUUCGCCCAUUAAAGCGGUACGCGAGCUGGGUUCAGAACGUCGUGAGACAGUUCGGUCCCUAUCCGUCGUGGGCGUAGGAAAUUUGAGAGGAGCUGUCCUUAGUACGAGAGGACCGGGAUGGACAUACCUCUGGUGUACCAGUUGUCGUGCCAACGGCAUAGCUGGGUAGCUAUGUGUGGACGGGAUAAGUGCUGAAAGCAUCUAAGCAUGAAGCCCCCCUCAAGAUGAGAUUUCCCAACUUCGGUUAUAAGAUCCCUCAAAGAUGAUGAGGUUAAUAGGUUCGAGGUGGAAGCAUGGUGACAUGUGGAGCUGACGAAUACUAAUCGAUCGAAGACUUAAUCAA